GAUGAACGCUAGCGGCAGGCUUAAUACAUGCAAGUCGAGGGGCAGCGCGGGUAGCAAUACCUGGCGGCGACCGGCAAACGGGUGCGGAACACGUACGGCAACCUUCCCAAAACUGGGGAAUAGCCCUCCGAAAGGAGGAUUAAUACCCCGUAACAUAACGAAGAGGCAUCUUUUUGUUAUUAUAGCUCAGGCGGUUUUGGAUGGGCGUGCGGCUGAUUAGGUAGUUGGCGGGGUAACGGCCCACCAAGCCUGCGAUCAGUAACUGGUGUGAGAGCACGACCAGUCACACGGGCACUGAGACACGGGCCCGACUCCUACGGGAGGCAGCAGUAAGGAAUAUUGGUCAAUGGACGCAAGUCUGAACCAGCCAUGCCGCGUGAAGGAUGAAGGCCCUCUGGGUUGUAAACUUCUUUUAUCUGGGACGAAAAAAGGGAAUUCUUUCUCACUUGACGGU
rnacentral:rRNA from 1 species